rnacentral:rRNA from 1 species
UACGGAGGGAGCUAGCGUUGUUCGGAAUUACUGGGCGUAAAGCGCGCGUAGGCGGCUUUGUAAGUUAGAGGUGAAAGCCCGGAGCUCAACUCCGGAACUGCCUUUAAAACUGCAUCGCUUGAAUCCAGGAGAGGUGAGUGGAAUUCCGAGUGUAGAGGUGAAAUUCGUAGAUAUUCGGAAGAACACCAGUGGCGAAGGCGGCUCACUGGACUGGUAUUGACGCUGAGGUGCAAAAGCGUGGGGAGCAAACAGG